UCUCCGUUUGUGAACCAGCGGAGGGAUCAUUACAGGAUCGAAAGACUCCUAUAACCCCUGUGAACUUACUACAAAUACGUUGCCUCGGCGGGUGCCCCGGGUCUCCCGGGGCGUUCAGCCCGCCGGCAGCCUUCAAAUUCUGUUUCUUUGCGUUGGCAUCUCGAGUAUACAAAAAUAAGUUAAAACUUUCAACAACGGAUCUCUUGGUUCUGACAUCGAUGAAGAACGCAGC
rnacentral:misc_RNA from 1 species